rnacentral:lncRNA from 1 species
CGCAGGUACAAACUCGGAGUAGACACCGACAGGCCGGGCUUCCUCUGAUCUACACCUCCACUCUAUCUUUGUCAAUCUAGUAGAAACUAGAAGAUCUAUUUCUACUCACAUUGGUUGCUAAGCCUAAAAGAACUUUUGUUUAGAGAAGAGGUUUUCCUUCAAGGGCACCCCUCAACUCUAUGAUAAACUUGUCUCCUCCAAGGGCCAGGGGGUCUGGUUUUAUAGUCCCUUCAAGUGAACGUGAGCCGUUGGAUCAAACCGACAUUGAUUGGACAGUUAUCCUUGAUCCUUUAGGUCGGUGGAGCAUCGUGUGCGAAAAGAGUUCUGAUUGGCAUCCAACAGAGGGCGGGCGCCCAAGUCAACUAGGCGGGCGCCCAGGGCUUGGCUCCAUUUGGCCUCUGCUUCCUUCCCGUGGCUUCUGGAGUCUUCUAGAUGGUAGAAAAUUGCGCGGUGCGUUGAUAUCUCUAUGUAAUCCCGAUAUGUGGGCCUUUCUUCCUUAUUUCCUGAUAACCCUCUGCAGAAACAGAUAAACAACAAAACUCGUGGAAUUCUGUCAAAUCAAACCCUAAUUCUAGGUGUUGUUUGCAUAUUGGUCCUUUCUCUUGUUUAUUUGAUAAUUAAAAUUGAUACUUAAGAACCGUCAACAAAUACCCCCAUACUUAGGCUUUUACUCGUCCUCGAGAAAAGGAUCGUUAAGAACAAUAUCUGGGGUAAAACAUUUUAAAACAUUCUCUUCAUAACUGCAGAGUGUUUAAAAUCCACUGUGUACUGUAGUCAGGGAAGAAUAUGGUUAAGAGUAAAUAUCCUUUCUUCUUGAUCCUGUCACUUGGAGUUUUUCUUUUAUUUUUGAAAAGAAAGUUAGCACACCUUUUAUCCUCAUAGGUUCUUUCUGAUCACUCAUUAUCUUUUAUAUCUCACUGAGGCUGUUUUAAUUUACAAAAAUUCUUAAGCAUACUUACUUUGCAUUUAUUGCCUGAUCAAAAUGGGAUCCGAGGAGGGAAAUGUCAUACUCUUAGAUCAAAGACUUUGGAAAUUAAAAUCUUUGUCAACUCUUGCUGGCAUAUUGCUUAUUAGAGGGACCAUGGGCUAUCAUUUUCUUUUUUUUCUCUUUUUUUAAGUAGAUACCGAGGUACCCCUAAUUCUACUGCCGGACACUUGUCCUUUUUUUAUGAGGUUGUCGAGCACUUGCCCCUUUUUAUUUCCUCAAAAUAUCUUUAUUUUUGCAUAGCCCAUGCCUCUAAUGCAAUAAUACUUCGGAAAAGUGAAUCUUUCUGAAUAAAUGUCUUGAUCUUAGGAGCAUGAUAAAUCUCUCAACAAGGGUCUAACUCAUUUUGAACAAACUCAAUACAUAGUAGAUAGCUUUUAUAAUUAUAAUUGAUAUUUUCAGUUUUAUCAGGCAUAUAAAACGCUGAGGAUGGUAGCUAGGAUUUUUAAAGAUUUUGAAAUAAAUUCUCCAAGCAACAAUGAUAUCAAGAAUAAGAAAUUCAUACUCUACCAUCUCACAUUCCAUAAUGACUUAAAUAACACAGGGUUUUUAAAAUGAUUUUCAAUAAUUGCAAGUUUUCAGGAAAUAUCAUAGAGAGAUUAAUCAUGAUUAGAAACAUUUUAAAUCUUUAUCAUGUCGGAAACAAUAUUCUGCAUAAGCCAAGAUAUUUGUAUGUGUAAAGUAUGCAGAGUGUGUACCUGAAUUGUGGAGUGGUGUAGUCGAAGUGUGUUUGGCGUGUCGAGGGAUCUCCCCCACACUUGUUUUCUGCUUUCUUGCACAAGAAUAAAGUAGAGACACACAAGACAUAAUAGUAAUAAUAAUAAUAUUCUUUAUUGAUCUUGAGGCAUUUAUUACAAAAGACUAGUAGCAAACUGACGAUAAUAGUAGCAAACUGGUGAUAAUAGUAAACCUAAACCGAAUUUAAAGAUAGAUACUAGGAUGCAUUGCCUCAAGGUCUAAUCUAGAUAACUUAGCGGCGCUCUAAUUCCUUAAUCUUCUUAUUGGCACUAGCAAGGUCAUGCCUAAGGCCUAAUAUAACGGUGUUGUGGUUAGAGAGCUGCCUAGUGAGGGAAUUAAUCGAGGACUGGAGG